CAGCCAUUGUGUUGUGUUUACGGUUUUCUCGAGGCAAUUGUGGCCUACUACAGUGUAUCUGUGGGAACACAACAUACAGCUCUAGAGCACAAAUUUGUUGUGGCGGGGUGGUCAAUUUAAAAAGCUUUGGUACAAGCUGCUGUGGAAGAAGAAUGUACAACUGGAGCAAUCAAAUUUGUUGCAGAGGGCAGAUUAAUUCGAAAGGCUCUUACACAAGGUGCUGUGGAAGGAGGACGUACAACUUCCGCUUUCAAGUUUGUUGUGGCGGGCGGAUUCAUUCCAAGAGCUCUGGCACAAGCUGCUGUGGAAAGAGGGCGUACUUCCCUCGCUUUAAAGACUGUUGUGAUGGAGUUAUCUGCUAAAAUAUUAUGCUAAUUUUCUCAAAUUUUAUUUGAGUUAUUAAAAUUUGAUUGAUAUUAA